rnacentral:rRNA from 1 species
GAUGAACGCUGGCGGCGUGCUUAACACAUGCAAGUCGAACGCUGAAGCUCCAGCUUGCUGGGGUGGAUGGGUGGCGAACGGGUGAGUAUCACGUGAGUAACCUGCCCUUGACUCUGGGAUAAGCCUGGGAAACUGGGUCUAAUACUGGAUAGUACUGAUCAUCGCAUGGUGGUUGGUUGAAAGCUUUAUGCGGUUUUGGAUGGACUCGCGGCCUAUCAGCUUGUUGGUGGGGUAAUGGCCUACCAAGGCUUUGACGGGUAGCCGGCCUGAGAGGGUGACCGGCCACACUGGGACUGAGACACGGCCCAG